UAGGCUAUUCCUGUGUUUUUUCUAUUUUGAGGUUACCUAAUAACAUACCCUGAUGUCAGUAUGAAAAAUAAGGUAACCAUGGAACAAGAUCAUCUUUUGUCUCCUCCAAGGAAUUGACUAGGAACAUGGUACAAUCCAUAAAACUCCAGUGGCCAGAUAAUUUUCCCAAAAAGUCAUCUCCACAGUGAUUUUGCUGUACAGGUAAAGGAAAGAUGAAAAAGAAACAUGAACAGAGAAGUCACUUUCUUGGAUCUUGUUGUGAAGCCUGGUCCUCUGCAAUACUAUACCAUUUCCUGUGAACUGAAAGAAGGAUUUAAGUAGUUUCAACUGGAACAAAGAAAUUCAUAUGUUGAAACAGUAAAAAGAAAAUUACUGCAGAAGUGAUUCAUUGUAAGUGAGAUGAAUGUCCUUACAAAGCACAAAUGAGAAAACACAGAAAAAGGAUCAUUGUGCAUAUUAGCAACACUGCUUAUAGAUUCAUCAUGGCUCACAACAAAGGUAUUUAUAAGUGGACCUCCUGCCUCUGUCACAUGCUGUCAUUGCUUUGGAUUGACUGCUGUUAGAUUUCUGUAAUCCUGAGCCCUGGGAUCUUGUCCUACAUGUUUACCCCACUUGAUAUGCCUGUUAGUAAGUAUUUAAAAUGGAAAUGAACUCUAAGCUUUGUAUCAGUUUAUAACAAAGGAUUUUAAUCCCUUAAAACUCAUAUUUAUAAUUUUUUUAAUAUAGUUUAUAAAAUAAGUGUUCAAUCUGAUAGCUUACAUUUGCCAGUUUUCCCAGUUAAGGUUGGUUACUGCCUAGAAUUUUUUACCUUGUUAGGAUGUCAUGGCAAUGAAAUCAAGGAAGAUGUUCAUGGAUGAAGUAGAAUAACAGCAGCCACAAGGCGCAUUUGUAAUAGAAAGCGUUGACAGCUUUCAUAACUGUAACUUACUUGUAAUAUAGAAAACAAUAAUAUUUUGUGCUGUAGAGGGUUGAUGACAGAUACAGAUAGACUACAACUACUACUUGUGUGUGUAUGUUGAGAUGUUAAAAAGUCCAUUAAAACUAUCACAUCCCAUC
rnacentral:lncRNA from 7 species